CCCCAGGUAUGUACCCCACCCUCUGACAAUACCUGCUGAGCCUAGCUUCAUACAUACGGCUUCAUAUUGAGUGAAGCCUCCAGAUAAUUUUAACGCCAGCCACCCUACCGUGUUAGUCUCUCCAGCUGAAGCUCCUGGUUUGCAGGACAGAGACCAGUCCUCAUGCCUGAGUCCUUGAAUACAGUUCCAUUGUGUAGAUGUCUCCCUUUGCUUUACCCACUCAUCUGCUGAUGGGCGUGGGAGCUGGCUGCAUUUCCUUGCUAUUGUGACUAGUAGAGCAGCAAUCAUGGAUGUGCAAGCAUCAUUCAUAUACACUGACUUAGAGUCCUUCAGAUAGGCAAUGUGCCCAUCACAGACGUCUGCAAAGAGAGGAGUGGAUGGAGAAAAUGCGAGUUAUACGAAUGGAAUCUUAUUAUGCAAUAAAAAAGGAAACAGUGACAUUUAUAAGAAAUUCGUUGCAAGUAGAAACCAUGUUAAGUGCAACAAGCUGGACUCAGACAGGCAUAUCACAAUAUCUCUGUGUGUUCAUGUAACUGUAAGCUGUGAAACUUGGCAGGAUUGUGAGAAGGAAGAGAUCUUAGAGGUGGGGAAGAGAAGAACCACCAACUGGGUAUCUUUAGGGUGCCCUUGGCAUUGACUGCCUUGUGCUUGGCGCCCCCUGGUGGAAAAUGAAAGGGCCGUCAUCAUAGUCCUAUAUCACCAUUGUCCUAAGCCAUGGCUGAUGCUUUUACAAGAUGUGUCUUCGUCAAGAUUACCACAUUCAUAUUAAAUGAAGGCCUACAUAUCAAUCAGACCAUAAUUUCUGAGAGACUUUCAUUCAGCAAUACUUCAGUUGAGUCAUGAGUCAAGCAAAAGUAGUGAGAGAUAGUUAAUAGACUUCCAUGUCAUCAGGAGGUGUCUCUUCCAAGUUCUGUGAGAUCCUACUGUAUACUGUAUACAGAACACGCUUCCUUGAAGAUAGCUCAUGGCUGCUCUCUUGUUCUGAAGAUAUGUCCAUCAGAUACUGGGAUCCUGGGAGCUUCACCAACACUGUGCUGUAUCAGGGACAUGCCUGCCCUGUGUGAGACGUGGACAUCAGCCCUUACAGCCUGUACUUUGCCAGUGGGUCCCAUGACUGUACUGCCAGGCUGUGGUCUUUUGAUUGGACUUAUCCGCUGAGGAUAUAUGCAGGACACCUGGCAGAUGUGGACUGUGUCAAAUUCCGCCCCAACUCAAACUACUUAGCUACAGGUUCCAUUGACAAAACUGUUUGGCUAUGGAGUGCCCAGCAGGGGAACUCGGUGUGGCUCUUUACAGGUCACCAGGGCCCUGUGCUCUCCCACUCCUUUUCUCCCAAUGGUAAGUACUUGGCAUCUGCUGGUGAGAACCAGCGGUUAAAGUUGUGGGAUUUGGCCUCUGGGACACUUUUUAAAGAACUGAGAGGCCACAUGAACAGCAUCACCAGUCUGGCCUUUAGCCUGGACAGUGUCUGAUUGCUUCUGCCUCCAUGGACAACUCUGUGCGUGUCUGGAACAUCAGAAGCAUGUGCUGCGACACAACUGCUGACAGCUCUUCGGUGACCUGCUUCCACCUCACUGCAGUGUCGGUAGUGAACAGAGAAUGAAUCAUGAGUGCGCACUCGCAAGUAUCGACCAUGCUCUAAGCACAAAGCAAGUUCUGAUGUCUGCUAAAGAAUUAAAUGUUUCUGUUUCUGAAAAAGUUAUUUUGUAUUUUGUUUUCUAUUAAAAUGUAUUUAGUU